GGAUCCUGGCUCAGGAUGAACGCUGGCGGCGUGCCUAACACAUGCAAGUCGAGCGAAGCACUUUGCUUAGAUUCUUCGGAUGAAGAGGAUUGUGACUGAGCGGCGGACGGGUGAGUAACGCGUGGGUAACCUGCCUCAUACAAGGGGAUAACAGUUAGAAAUGACUGCUAAUACCGCAUAAGACCACAGCACCGCAUGGUGCGGGGGGUAAAAACUCCGGUGGUAUGAGAUGGACCCG
rnacentral:rRNA from 1 species